CGCAAACUCGAGGGGGCCGGCAAUUUGUUCUGAUUAGAAUCGUUCCUUUGGCUUGUUGGUGUUUUCCCGGAUUUGACGUAUUUUCCUAGAAAGGGACAAUUUCUGAGUAUUCCUCCUGGUGUCCCUUUCAUCAUAAAUUUAAACCCUUGUUGGGUUGGCUGCUGAAGCGAUCGAGGGUAGCAAAAUGUCGAGAUACAACUUAGAUUGUAAAGUUUAUGUUGGUGAUUUGGGUAACAAUGCAUCUAAACAAGAAUUGGAAGAUGCAUUCGGAUAUUAUGGACCUUUACGAAAUGUAUGGGUAGCCAGGAAUCCACCUGGUUUUGCAUUCGUCGAAUUUGAGGAUGCAAGGGACGCGGAAGAUGCAGUGAGAGGUUUAGAUGGUAGAACCAUCUGUGGUAGGCGUGCUAGGGUAGAACUCUCUAGUGGUAAGAGUGGGGGUAGGUAUAGAGGACCUCCACCACGUUCUAGCAGAGGCCGCCCUUUUCACCCUGACGAUCGAUGUUAUGGUUGUGGUGAUAGGGGACACUAUGCUCGAGAUUGUACAAGACAAAAAAGGGGAGGUGGUAGCAGCAGACGAAGGUAUAGUCUUUGGCCGAUAGUCAGGUAAAGCAUAGUUCAGUUCAGACAAUCGUCUUGCCUCUCUCCACGACUUCUCAGUGUGCAGCCUCAUAGAAUAACAUCGAUAGCAAUGUCUCCACGCGACUCUACUGCAAUACUGCAAUUAUCCUUAUGAGAGACUUCUGAGUAUCGAGCCAAUGAAAACGAAAUAUCUACGAGAACUCUCGAGUCUAGCCCCUUCUACCUACUUGAUUGAUUAUCACUACCUCCUCCUACAAUGUUUUCUACAGUUAGCGUCACGACAUGAUCACGAAUAAUGGUCUAGGUCUAGAUCAAGAAGUCGCGGACGCUAUAGGAGAUCUCGUUCCAGGAGCACCAAGUCCAGAAGCCGUUCAAGGAACCGUUCUAGGUCCCGUUCUCAGUCGGCCAAAAGGAGCCGUAGUCGUUCUCCAACUAAUGACAAGCGUUCGAGAACCAGAACAAGGUCUAGGAGUCGCUCAGCUCCUAAGCAAAAUGGC